rnacentral:rRNA from 1 species
CUUGACUCUAGUCUGAUACUGUAAGGAGACAUGAGAGGUGUAGCAUAAGUGGGAGACUCCUCACGGGGUCGCCAGUGAAAUACCACUACUUUCAUCGUUUCCUUACUUACUCGGUGAGGCGGAGCGCGUGCGUCGUUCCUUGUGUUCGGCGCACGGUAUUCUUGAACCAAGUCUGGCAAGUGUAUCUUCUCGGACGAUCCGAUCCGAGGACACUAUCAGGCGGGGAGUUUGACUGGGGCGGUACAUCUGUCAAAGAAUAACGCAGGUGUCCUAAGGCCAGCUCAGCGAGGACAGAAACCUCGCGUAGAGCAAAAGGGCAAAAGCUGGCUUGAUCCCGAUGUUCAGUAAGCAUAGGGACUGCGAAAGCACGGCCUAUCGAUCCUUUUGGCUUGGAGAGUUUCCAGCAAGAGGUGUCAGAAAAGUUACCACAGGGA